CAGUGUAGUAGUUGGUGGGUUGAGUAGUCUCCCCAGAUGGGUUUGCAUGCAUUACUACUAUUGUUACCCAUGUUACUGAACUGGGCCUAUGGGCCACACUGUUAUGUAAAAAGUGGCUAAGGACUUGCUACUGUAUUCUGAAAAGGGCUUCGGUCCACUGUGUACUGUUAUCUGAAUAGGGCUUAGGCCCAAUGGGCUCGAUUUGAUUUGGGCUUUGGAUUGGUUUCUUUAUGCAUUGAGUUUCCCAAACUCACCCCUUUCUAUUCCAUCCUUGCAGGUGAGCCCUAGUUGGUGGACUUGGAGC
rnacentral:lncRNA from 1 species